rnacentral:tRNA from 1 species
UUAGCUCAGUCGGUAGAGCACCUGACUUUUAAUCAGGGUGUCCCGCGUUCGAGUCGCGGA